rnacentral:rRNA from 1 species
GACGAACGCUGGCGGCGUGCUUAACACAUGCAAGUCGAGCGGAAAGGCCCUUCGGGGUACUCGAGCGGCGAACGGGUGAGUAACACGUGAGUAACCUGCCCCAGACUUUGGGAUAACCCUCGGAAACGGGGGCUAAUACCGGAUACGACACAGCUUCGCAUGGGGUCUGUGUGGAAAGUUUUUCGGGUUGGGAUGGGCUCGCGGCCUAUGAUCUUGUUGGUGGGGUGAUGGCCGACCAAGGCGACGACGGGUAGCCGGCCUGAGAGGGCGACCGGCCACACUGGGACUGCGACAGGGCCCAGAGUCCUACGGGAGGCAGCAGUGGGGAAUAUUGCACAAUGGGCGGACGCCUGAUGCAGCGACGCCGCGUGAGGGAUGACGGCCUUCGGGUUGUAAACCGCUUUCAGCAGGGACGAAGCGUAAGUGACGGUACCUGAAGAAGAAGCGCCGGCUAACUACGUG